CUGCCCCAGCUGCUCCUGGCUUCUCUGACCAUGGGUCCAUUCCAUGAACAUUUUAUAGGACACCUACUGUGUGCCAGACACUGGAGUCUGGGAAGACAGUGAAGCCCUGGGUUGUCCAAGAUCACGGAGUACCUGGCAGCAAAGUUCCAUCUCAGCUCCUUGGAGACUGUGAAGACUUAGAGAAAACAACCACCAUGAGAGGGAAGGAUCAAAGUGGACAAAGUGAACACUCUGGAAUCAACAGAGGAGGUCCUGAAAAUUCCUUCCUGAUAAUUUCAUUAACUACAAAAGAAGAGAGAAACAGAAGACCAGGUCAGAGAAAACCAAAGUCAUGAAUCAGGGUAGUUUACUUAAAGCAGUUAAACUAUUUUUUUUCCAGACACAUUUAUUUUCUUUUGUUCUCUGCAAGAAUAGAUUUGACAAUUCUUAACAUAAGAGGUAUUUUCCAAGUUUGUGAUUCUCCCCCACCCUGGAUAAUAAUAUAUUAUGCAAUCAAACGGUUAGUGAAAAUGCUAAGAAGUCCUAGUGCCCAGAAAUAGAGUUGGGCCACAUGACACAUUUUUAAGUAGCCUUUUCUUCUUCAAUCUUUUCACUUAGUGCACAUUAGCCCUCUUCUGUGAUGAGUAGCUUCCGCACCGUAAAGGCAGACUAGCUGUCAAUGUAAAUCUAAUCCCAGUUUCUCUCAGAACAAUGAAUAAGUCUUGAGUCUUCUAAUCAAGGUGUUUAUAGAAGGGCUCUGGAAAGUUCCAUUGUACCCUUCCCCAGAAGGCUGCAUAGAAUGCCUAGAAAGACACCAUGGAUCUGGUGCCAGUCACUGGCACUAGGAAGCCAGCUGUGCAUGGAAUCAAGGCUGUGAAGGUCAUACAUGAGUAACUAGUGCAGACUUCCUUCAACACUCUAACACUCAUAGAAAGGAGCUGCUCUGUCACCCAGCAUGCACACAGCUGUGCACGUGCCCUGAGGGGGGUGGGUGAUGGUGUGUGGGUGGGAACUGGCUUUUGACCACUGGCCCUGGGGCCAAGAAAAGGAGAAGCAGCAGAUCCACCAAACAGCAGGUUAAUCUCCCUCUCCCAGUUCUGACACUGGCUUCUUCCUAGAAUACUUUUUUUAAAUCAAGAGAUGAAAGGUUGGUAGCGAGGAGUAACUGGAGAUCAGCUCAACAUCUGUGUUUGAGUUGGGCCCUCUAAGGUCUAUGAUGCUUCUUCCUGGAAAUCUUUCAUUUGUAGAGUGAGUCUACAAGCUUGGUAAUAAGAGGAGGGCAGGUCCAAACUGUUUGGUACUGAAUAAGCCAAGUUGGACUCCCUCGCCUAACUGGUGGUGUGAUCCAGCUUUGUGGCCUUAGUACUCUCAUCUAUAGAACGGAAAUCACACAGGACAGUUGUGAGGGUGAUAGGCAUUGCUGUUGGCACAUGCACCUAGCUUGGUGAAGUGGUUGCUUGCUAUAGUGUUGGCAGCAUCUCAAAGCUCUGUACCAUAUGAAGCUUUUGCUUUGUGCUUCAGAUAUGUGAAAGCAGAUGUGUGUCUAGGCAGGCCAGAGUGCAGGUUCAAACCCCACCCCAUGCAGCAUCCUCAAUUGAAGAAAGAACUACUCUCUGGCUCAGUCUCCCCAUCUGUACAGCAUGUAUGAAAACGCCACCUUCCAGGGUUAUUAAGGAACCUGGACAAGAUAAUGUACAUGGUGCAUACCAGUACAGUCACCAUCUACAACAGGUUGUUUGUAUGUUAAUGCCCGAGAACAGAACAAAAGUUCCGAAGUGUGAAAAUGGAUCCCUAACAAAGGAGCUCAGAGGAUGGAUGUGUAUAUUCAGGUGCCAGGUGACUUCAGGGAUCGAAGGAAGACAGGCCAGCCCCCCCCCCCCCCCAGUGCCCUCUUCACCAUGGGACCCCACCAAGCCAUGAUGCAGACAGCAAGGCAUUAGUGAAAGCUGGAAGGUGGGGUCAGUGUAACUUCACUAGAAGCUUUUCAAAGCCCGGAUUCUGAAGGGCUUCCUGUUUUCUCAACCUAGGAAACAAGAGGAGUCGAUCCUCAGUGGAAACUUUCCACAGCCUCAGCUUUCUAAAAAUAGCUGGAGGGCAGAGAUGUCGGCAACACAGCAGCCCCCACAACAGGGCAGCUUCUGAACACAGGGGCUGGGAGAUGAGUGUCAGGUGGGCAGAAAUGGUCUCUCCCUCUGAGUGAAGAAACCCUCACUUCAUGAAACCCACUUCUCAGGUAAAAAAGAAAAUGGGAUGUAGGCAGCAUGUGGAGAGUUCACGGCAUGGGCCGCCUACAGGCCUUCGUGCAGUUGGGCCCUACAGUGAGGGGCCCACAGAAACCUCAGAGCCUCUCCAUCUCUCUAACACACACACACCUGGGGCAGUGACCUCAAAGUUCUAGAGCAGAAAAGUCAGCUGGGUGGCCAUGAUUAUAUCUCCAUGUUCCAUGGGAGUGGGGUUGGGGGAGCUCUGACUACUUCAUGCAGAUCAGAUUCAAGCCUCUGUCCUGAGCACCUAGGUGGCCUCACAGCCCUCUGAGUCAACUCAGUGAUGUCUAUGGCCCCAGGAAGGGGCCUGCAGCCUCCUUGUUCACAUCUUUACUCUCGUGUCUUCACAUUGCCCCUCAAUGUGGGUGACCGUUCACCCUAAACUAAAGCCCCUGCUCGGGCCCAUCGUCUGAGGCCCCAUGACCUCACCUACUGCAUGCUCCCCCACUCCCUACACACACACCAACCACACUAGCUUCCGUUCUGUACUGGCCUGUGCCCAGCAUCAUCCCCACAGCCCUGGAGUCCCCACCUCUCUUGAUGCCUUCUUUCUCACUCACUUUGGUCAAGCCCACUCCGGGAAGGAUACAUUUGACCCACCCCCAGAGCUACUCCAUUAAUCAGUUCCUGGCAGUUCACUGUGCCACUCUAUCAAGCUCUUGUUUCCCUGCUAUAUAGUGUGCUCUUAAGCACCCUGGCACACAGGAAGGACAGGGACAUAUAUUAGGAAGGGAGUAAUGGGACAACACUUAGCUCAUACUGUCAAGCAUGGGCAUUCGUCCCCAGAUGACCCACUCUUCUGCAUCUGUGCCAUCAGUGUUUCAUUCACUCACAGGUUUCAAGCAGUUUUCUCAUACUAGCUUCUUCCCACAGGGGAUCUCAUGCAGACUCCCAAGCAACCCUUUCCCCAAAUCCUAACUUCCCUCCAGCCUCUGUUCCAACACCAGCCUUCACUAGAAAGUCUUCUCAUGUACCCUACUUCUUUGGGACCCUCAUGCCCUCCAGAAGCAAGGACUGAAUGGUCUUUAAAACCUACCACUUAAUGCUUGCAUGCUAGGCGAUUUGAGUCACUUAGACCCCUACAAGAGCACACAGCUGGCACCUAAUGCCUGAUCUUAUCUGGCCAAAAGGACUCCAAACUAGCAACCUAGGUC